AAUCAACGCUGGCGGCGUGCCUAACACAUGCAAGUCGAACGAGAAAGUGGAGCAAUCCAUGAGUAAAGUGGCGACCGGGUGAGUAACACGUGACCAACCUACCUUCGAGUGGGGGAUAACUCCGGGAAACCGGAGCUAAUACCGCAUAACAUCUUUGGAAUGCAAAUUCCGUUGAUCAAAGGAGCAAUUCGCUUGAAGAGGGGGUCGCGGCUGAUUAGCUAGUUGGCGGGGUAAUGGCCCACCAAGGCGGAGAUCGGUAGCCGGCCUGAG
rnacentral:rRNA from 1 species